GAUGAACGCUGGCGGCGUGCCUAAUACAUGCAAGUCGAGCGAACGGACGAGAAGCUUGCUUCUCUGAUGUUAGCGGCGGACGGGUGAGUAACACGUGGAUAACCUACCUAUAAGACUGGGAUAACUUCGGGAAACCGGAGCUAAUACCGGAUAAUAUUUUGAACCGCAUGGUUCAAUAGUGAAAGACGGUCUUGCUGUCACUUAUAGAUGGAUCCGCGCUGCAUUAGCUAGUUGGUAAGGUAACGGCUUACCAAGGCAACGAUGCAUAGCCGACCUGAGAGGGUGAUCGGCCACACGGGAACGGAGACACGGUCCAGACUCCUACGGGAGGCAGCAGUAGGGAAUCUGCCGCAAUGGGCGAAAGCCUGACGGAGCAACGCCGCGUGAGUGAUGAAGGUCUUCGGAGCGUAAAACUCUGUUAUGAGGGAAGAACAUAUGUGUAAGUAACUGUGCACAUCUUGACGGUACCUAAUCAGAAAGCCACGGCUAACUACGUG
rnacentral:rRNA from 1 species